CGUGAAGCCUGUCAGUGCAGUGCCUAUAUCAAUUAAUACAAACUGAGGGAGCGUAUGAAGAGAAGUGCCGAGAGCCAAUCGGCAGCCUUCACGAUUCUGUAGCUUGUGGCCAGAAAAGUGUAAUAAAUAAAUAAAUAAAUCAAUAAACAAUCAGACACUGCAUGGACCCUUAGGGUCUAUCUAACAAAAAAAUGAAUGAGUUUUUUUUUUUUUUUCCUUUUUUUUUUAAAAAAAAAAAAAAGAAAGAAAAAGAAUGAAAAUAAAGGUUACAAUGGUGAAUUAAAACCAAAAAUAUGGCUCGAUAUAAAUAUACUGAAUACGCAGUAAAAAAGAAAAACCGGAGGGGGGAAAUAGAGUAGCAGCAACGUGGGGUAUGUGUUUUUAAUUGUUAAAAGUGGAACCAUGGUGCAACUUUGUGUUAUUAUCUGUAAAACAUGUUCCCUCGCUGAUCUUUAGCCAUCGUGAGUGGCUCCACAGUCCAGACAUGAUUACACGCCAUCAGUUUUCCCCACUGAAAUCGUGCACUCGAUACACGCCGCGUUUGUGUCGAUCGGCUUUCUGGCCGUCGUUACUCUGGUGCUAUAAAAAGGCAGGACCUGUAGUACACACAGUCUGCUGCAGGAUUCUGCCUGUGUAUAAAACGUCUAAAAAUCACCCGCCUUAUAAUAAAACAUUUUGCAUCAGCUCAUUUUAAACCGUGGUACUGGUGUGCUUUGUCAGCGUGGGCGGAGUAUCGACUGAAAAUGCUCGUGCCGGUCGUGCAUCUCUAAUUGCGAUGACAUUACAGAAGCGAUGAUACGCCUGCUUAUAUGCGCAGCAUCACUGCCAUGUUCGCAGCUGCUAUUUUUAGUACGCAGUCCGUCUCUGCUGUAUAGAGAAGCCGUAACUGUAAAUAUAGAGCUGUAUUUUUUUUUUUUUCCCCCCCCAAGCGUGGAAUCGAAAACGAAUGUUUCUUGAAUUGCAUGUUCACUUUGCUUUUUAAAAAAAAAGAAAGAAAUUCAAUAAAAUAAAGAGAAAUGGUGCUAUUUUUCAGACAUAUUUAUAAUGUGGAUUGUGUUUGAUGAUGUCAUCUUGUAUAUGGUAAAAUGAUUAAAAUGUUCAAUUUGUCG
ensembl:lncRNA